rnacentral:lncRNA from 1 species
GUUUACGUCGGCCGGAGGAGCAGGCCCGGAAGACCUGCCGCAUGGGCAGCCCCCUUGCUGCGCGGCACCCUGUGAGCCGGGGCCUGUGGGCCACAGCUGAUUGGACCAAGGGUAAAAUCUAGAAUAUACAAAGGACAGGGGUAGGUCAUCAAGCCCAACAGAAGACAGACAGGCCUAAGUUUACAGGGGACAGGGGACCACUGGACCAGUGUUUAUCCCAGUAUCUGGGAGCCACUGUGUGCAGCUGAGCACAGCCCAAGUGAGCAGAGCGGGUGGUUAAAGUCUUCCGUCGUUGCCCAGAGAAGUGACCUGAGUCGCUGAGUCCCAGGAUGCAGCUGGGAGCCAGGGACAUGGCUUCCAAUCCUUGAGCCUCUGUUUCAGACACAUGGCCUGAUUUUUUGCUCCAGGAGGCUCACCUCUGUGGG